AGAGUUUGAUCCUGGCUCAGGACGAACGCUGGCGGCGUGCUUAACACAUGCAAGUCGAACGGUAAGGCCCCUUCGGGGGUACACGAGUGGCGAACGGGUGAGUAACACGUGAGCAACCUACCCUUGACACUGGAAUAACAGUUGGAAACAGCUGCUAAUGCCGGAUAUGACCUUCGGUGACAUCACCUGGAGGUGGAAAGUGCUUAGCGGUCAAGGAUGGGCUCGCGGCCCAUUAGCUUGUUGGUGAGGUAAAGGCUCACCAAGGCCACGAUGGGUAGCUGGUCUGAGAGGACGAUCAGCCACACUGGGACUGAGACACGGCCCAGACUCCUACGGGAGGCAGCAGUGGGGAAUCUUGCGCAAUGCGCGAAAGCGUGACGCAGCAACGCCGCGUGAGGGAAGAAGGCCUUCGGGUUGUAAACCUCUUUCAGGAGGGACGAAGGUUCAGGCGCGAAUAGCGUCCUGGACUGACGGUACCUCCAGAAGAAGCCCCGGCUAACUACGUGCCAGCAGCCGCGGUAAU
rnacentral:rRNA from 1 species